UGAUGGCGUAAUCGUGCAUGUUCUUCAAUGAAUACUAAAACAUCAGUUUCUCUUUCCAAAAGAUUUCCAUAAUCAUCAAAGUGGAUAAUUUGUAAAUUGCAGACCAGAUGGAACACUAAACAUGACGAUAGAAAGAUCGUUGUCACGUACGUCCAUGAGAAAGUCAACGUUACCAAGAUGCCACAAGAUCGCCACCAUGAUUCGUGUUGCAUGUACAUCAUGCGGAUAACUUCUCGAGAAAGUUUUAAGAGAAGACAUGGAAGGAACCACAAUACUAGUGCGCAAAUCUUAUGAACAUACUCCCUUGAAAAUCUCUCAACAUAGCCAUUAUACUGAUCAACAAACAAAAACUUUCUAAUCCCAUAUUUCCGAAGAUUAUGUGAAAGGCAAAGCAGAGCAGAAGCAGCCAAAGAAGCAUGUGAAGACACAACAACAAGCUCAAAGCCUUGAACUUGAUAGAGGUCGUCACAUUUCAAACAGUUGGUGGGCAUUAGAACCACCACCCCAACAGGAACCACAAUUCCGAUCAGAAUAAACGUAACCCAUGUAAUCCCAAUUCGCAAAACUGAAGAUUGGUUGAAUCCCAAUAAUAACAUGUAAAAAUCCAAUCUUUCGAGACACCCGUUUAGAUCACUGCUCAGUGUUUCGUCUUGGUCGUGUAAGAAUUGGAUUUGGGGGUGGUUUUCUGAUGACAUUAGUGGAAAAAACUUGUGGGUUUUGUGUAAAAAUGGGAUCUUGAUUGAAGCAUGAGAAAGUUGAAGGAUUGAAGAUGGUGAAGACAAGAAGAAACUGCAUUAUUAUUGUUGUUGUUACUAUUCAGG
rnacentral:lncRNA from 1 species